CCUACGGGCGGCAGCAGUGGGGAAUAUUGCACAAUGGGCGCAAGCCUGAUGCAGCCAUGCCGCGUGUGUGAAGACGGCCUUCGGGUUGUAAAGCACUUUCAGCGGGGAGGAAGGCGUUAAGGUUAAUAACCUUUUCGAUUGACGUUUCCCGCAGAAGAAGCACCGGCUAACUCCGUGCCAGCAGCCGCGGUAAUACGGAGGGUGCAAGCGUUAAUCGGAAUUACUGGGCGUAAAGCGCACGCAGGCGGUCUGUCAAGUCGGAUGUGAAAUCCCCGGGCUCAACCUGGGAACUGCAUUCGAAACUGGCAGGCUAGAGUCUUGUAGAGGGGGGUAGAAUUCCAGGUGUAGCGGUGAAAUGCGUAGAGAUCUGGAGGAAUACCGGUGGCGAAGGCGGCCCCCUGGACAAAGACUGACGCUCAGGUGCGAAAGCGUGGGGAGCAAACAGGAUUAGAUACCCGAGUAGUC
rnacentral:rRNA from 1 species